rnacentral:rRNA from 1 species
UUGGCGGACGGGUGAGUAACGCGUGGGGAACCUGCCUUGCACCGGGGGAUAACACUUAGAAAUAGGUGCUAAUACCGCAUAAGCGCACAGAGCCGCAUGGCUCAGUGUGAAAAACUCCGGUGGUGCAAGAUGGACCCGCGUCUGAUUAGCUGGUUGGCGGGGUAACGGCCCACCAAGGCGACGAUCAGUAGCCGGCCUGAGAGGGUGAACGGCCACAUUGGGACUGAGACGCGGCCCAAACUCCUACGGAAGGCAGCAG